rnacentral:rRNA from 1 species
AACGAACGCUGGCGGCAGGCCUAACACAUGCAAGUCGAGCGGACCUUUCGGGGUCAGCGGCGGACGGGUGAGUAACGCGUGGGAAUAUGCCCUUCUCUACGGAAUAGUCCUGGGAAACUGGGGUUAAUACCGUAUACGCCCUUUGGGGGAAAGAUUUAUCGGGGAAGGAUUAGCCCGCGUUGGAUUAGGUAGUUGGUGGGGUAAUGGCCUACCAAGCCGACGAUCCAUAGCUGGUUUGAGAGGAUGAUCAGCCACACUGGGACUGAGACACGGCCCAGACUCCUACGGGAGGCAGCAGUGGGGAAUCUUAGACAAUGGGGGCAACCCUGAUCGAGCCAUGCCGCGUGAGUGAGGAAGGCCUUAGGGUUGUAAAGCUCUUUCAGCUGGGAAGAUAAUGACGGUACCAGCAGAAGAAGCCCCGGCUAACUCCGUG